UACGUAGGGUGCAAGCGUUAUUCGGAAUUACUGGGCGUAAAGCGUGCGCAGGCGGCUUUGCAAGUCAGCUGUGAAAUCCCCGGGCUUAACCUGGGAACUGCAUUUGUGACUGCAUGGCUGGAGUGCGGCAGAGGGGGAUGGAAUUCCGCGUGUAGCAGUGAAAUGCGCAGAUAUCUGGAGGAACACCGGUGGCGAAGGCGGCAUCCUGGACCGAUACUGACGCUGAGGAGCGAAAGCCAGGGGAGCAAACGGG
rnacentral:rRNA from 1 species